rnacentral:rRNA from 1 species
GAUCCUGGCUCAGGAUGAACGCUAGCUACAGGCUUAACACAUGCAAGUCGAGGGGCAGCAUGAACUUAGCUUGCUAAGUUUGAUGGCGACCGGCGCACGGGUGAGUAACACGUAUCCAACCUGCCGAUGACUCGGGGAUAGCCUUUCGAAAGAAAGGUUAAUACCCGAUGGCAUAGUUCUUCCGCAUGGUAGAACUAUUAAAGAACUUCGGUCAUCGAUGGGGAUGCGUUCCAUUAGGUUGUUGGG